ACAGUGUCUGGUGGGUAGUUUGACUGGGGCGGUCUCCUCCUAAAGAGUAACGGAGGAGCACGAAGGUUAGCUAAUCCUGGUCGGACAUCAGGAGGUUAGUGCAAAGGCAUAAGCUAGCUUGACUGCGAGCGUGACGGCGCGAGCAGGUGCGAAAGCAGGUCUUAGUGAUCCGGUGGUUCUGAAUGGAAGGGCCAUCGCUCAACGGAUAAAAGGUACUCCGGGGAUAACAGGCUGAUACCGCCCAAGAGUUCAUAUCGACGGCGGUGUUUGGCACCUCGAUGUCGGCUCAUCACAUCCUGGGGCUGAAGUAGGUCCCAAGGGUAUGGCUGUUCGCCAUUUAAAGUGGUACGCGAGCUGGGUUUAGAACGUCGUGAGACAGUUCGGUCCCUAUCUGCCGUGGGCGCUGGAGAAUUGAGGGGGGCUGCUCCUAGUACGAGAGGACCGGAGUGGACGCAUCACUGGUGUUCGGGUUGUCAUGCCAAUGGCACUGCCCGGUAGCUAAAUGCGGAAGAGAUAAGUGCUGAAAGCAUCUAAGCACGAAACUUGCCCCGAGAUGAGUUCUCCCUGACCCUUAAAGGGUCCUGAAGGAACGUUGAAGACGACGACGUUGAUAGGCCGGGUGUGUAAGCGCAGCGAUGCGUUGAGCUAACCGGUACUAAUGAACCGUGAGGCUUAACCUUACAACGCCGAAG
rnacentral:rRNA from 1 species